GGCCGAGCGGUGUGAUGGAGCACACGUACCGUGGUUGACGGUAAGGUCCCCGGUUCGAAUCCGGGCUCGGCCA
rnacentral:tRNA from 1 species